AGAGUUUGAUCCUGGCUCAGAACGAACGCUGGCGGCAGGCCUAACACAUGCAAGUCGAACGGGGACCUUCGGGUCUUACGUGGCGCACGGGUGAGUAACGCGUGGGAAUCUACCCCAAAGUCGGGGAUAACCGCUGGAAACGGCGGCUAAUACCGGAUACGCCCUGAGGGGCAAAGCUUUUGCGCUUUGGGAGGAGCCCGCGUCCGAUUAGCUAGUUGGUGGGGUAAAGGCCUACCAAGGCUGCGAUCGGUAGCUGGUCUGAGAGGAUGAUCAGCCACACUGGGACUGAGACACGGCCCAGACUCCUACGGGAGGCAGCAGUGGGGAAUCUUGGACAAUGGGGGCAACCCUGAUCCAGCCAUGCCGCGUGGGUGAAGAAGGCCUUAGGGUUGUAAAGCCCUUUCGGCGGGGAAGAUGAUGACGGUACCCGCAGAAGGAGCCCCGGCUAACUCCGUGCCAGCAGCCGCGGUAAUACGGAGGGGGCUAGCGUUGUUCGGAAUCACUGGGCGUAAAGGGCGCGUAGGCGGACCACCAAGUCAGGGGUGAAAGCCCUGGGCUCAACCUAGGAAGUGCCCUUGAAACUGAUGGUCUUGAGUCCGGGA
rnacentral:rRNA from 1 species